rnacentral:rRNA from 1 species
GACGAACGCUGGCGGCGUGCCUAAUACAUGCAAGUAGAACGCUGAAGCUUGGUGCUUGCACCGAGCGGAUGAGUUGCGAACGGGUGAGUAACGCGUAGGUAACUUGCCUGGUAGCGGGGGAUAACUAUUGGAAACGAUAGCUAAUACCGCAUAAGAGUAGAUGUUGCAUGACAUUUGCUUAAAAGGUGCAAUUGCAUCACUACCAGAUGGACCUGCGUUGUAUUAGCUAGUUGGUGAGGUAACGGCUCACCAAGGCAACGAUACAUAGCCGACCUGAGAGGGUGAUCGGCCACACUGGGACUGAGACACGGCCCAGACUCCUACGGGAGGCAGCAGUAGGGAAUCUUCGGCAAUGGACGGAAGUCUGACCGAGCAACGCCGCGUGAGUGAAGAAGGUUUUCGGAUCGUAAAGCUCUGUUGUAAGAGAAGAACGAGUGUGAGAGUGGAAAGUUCACACUGUGACGGUAUCUUACCAGAAAGGGACGGCUAACUACGUGCCAGCAGCCGCGGUAAUACGUAGGUCCCGAGCGUUGUCCGGAUUUAUUGGGCGUAAAGCGAGCGCAGGCGGUUAGAUAAGUCUGAAGUUAAAGGCUGUGGCUUAACCAUAGUACGCUUUGGAAACUGUUUAACUUGAGUGCAAGAGGGGAGAGUGGAAUUCCAUGUGUAGCGGUGAAAUGCGUAGAUAUAUGGAGGAACACCGGUGGCGAAAGCGGCUCUCUGGCUUGUAACUGACGCUGAGGCUCGAAAGCGUGGGGAGCAAACAGG